CGCCUACGGGAGGCAGCAGUGGGGGAUAUUGCACAAUGGGGGGAACCCUGAUGCAGCGACGCCGCGUGGGCGAUGGAGUACUUCGGUAUGUAAAGCCCUAUCAGCAGGGAAGAAAAUGACGGUACCUGACUAAGAAGCCCCGGCUAAAUACGUGCCAGCAGCCGCGGUAAUACGUAUGGGGCAAGCGUUAUCCGGAUUUACUGGGUGUAAAGGGAGCGUAGACGGCAGUGCAAGUCUGAAGUGAAAGGCAAGGGCUCAACCUUUGGACUGCUUUGGAAACUGUGCUGCUAGAGUGUCGGAGAGGC
rnacentral:rRNA from 1 species